rnacentral:tRNA from 1 species
UGGGGAUGUAGCUCAGUGGGAGAGCACUUACUUCCUGUGCACACAGCCCUGGGUUCAAUCCCCAGUACUUAA